CAAUCGAUUUCCAAUCACUAAUCCUUUUGAUGUAGUUACACAUAAAACUGACACAUCAUUUAUUAGGACAACUUUAUCGGCUUUUUCCUACCCUUUAUCAAGUACAAUAUAAAUCACUUGUUUCGUAGGAUAUCGAUGACUUAACCCUUUAGCGUGAACACUAUUGCGUUAUAAAAAGUGACAUCUCUACUUUAAGAAAGUAGUUGCGGUUAUCAAGAGGACAAAGGACAUGAUCAUUUUAAAUGAAGAAAGAAGUCAGAUUACUAUAGCAUCGUGGGAAACAUCAUUUUUACUGAUAUUUCAAGAAACUAGCAGCGAUUAUCAAGAGAAGGAUCAAUCGUAACAGACUACAUAUAUGGAUCAUGAUAGCAUCCCAGCGAAACAAUGAAGACGUCGGACACAGUAAUUAAAGAAUCACGACCGUUACUAUUUUACAAAUAUAAAAAUAUAUUUAUCAUGUGGGUUCAGUUAUUACAUUUAUUAAUUUCCAAGUUCGAUGCUUCGAUUGAAUAUGUUUACCAGCGUUACUCUUCUCAGAUAUAGAGUGCGCUUUACCACAAUUCGCCUUUGUAGACAGUCGGUAAAUGAAGCAUACGAUCGGUAAAAAUUACAACUAAAUGUAUGUCGAGAAAUAAAUUGUUUAUUUUGGAAAUAAUCAAAAUUUCAGUCAAUCUGAAUCGAUUUGUACACAGGAAACAAAAUGCAAAGAACAAUAUUUCUAUAGAUUAUUAGUAUACAAUAUAUAUGUAAUAGCUUCCAAAGCUGAUAGAAUGAAUCAAACAUAAAAUAUUGUAAAAUAUUUCAUCUAAAUUGUAAUAUAUAUAUAGAAAUGAA